rnacentral:rRNA from 1 species
AUUGAACGCUGGCGGAAUGCUUUACACAUGCAAGUCGAACGGCAGCACGGACUUCGGUCUGGUGGCGAGUGGCGAACGGGUGAGUAAUGUAUCGGAACGUGCCCAGUCGUGGGGGAUAACGUAGUGAAAAUUACGCUAAUACCGCAUCCGAUCUAUGGAUGAAAGCGGGGGAUCGCAAGACCUCGCGCGAUUGGAGCGGCAGAUAUCAGAUUAGGUAGUUGGUGGGGUAAAGGCCCACCAAGCCAACGAUCUGUAGCUGGUCUGAGAGGACGACCAGCCACACUGGAACUGAGACACGGUCCAGACUCCUACGGGAGGCAGCAGUGGGGAAUUUUGGACAAUGGGCGAAAGCCUGAUCCAGCCAUUCCGCGUGCAGGAUGAAGGCCCUCGGGUUGUAAACUGCUUUUGUACAGAACGAAAAGGUUUCUACUAAUACUAGGAGCUCAUGACGGUACUGUAAGAAUAAGCACCGGCUAACUACGUGCCAGCAGCCGCCGCAG